AAAGUUAUAAGAAAUUAAUGUGAAUUUAAUUAAAUUGUCUAUGUAAAGGCUCCAUAAACAUGACUGGACAUCAAACUUUCUGCUUUUUU